UCCAAUAUCUCAUUUGCAUUAAACCCCAUG
rnacentral:piRNA from 1 species